UACCUGGUUGAUCCUGCCAGUAGUCAUAUGCUUGUCUCAAAGAUUAAGCCAUGCAUGUCUAAGUAAAAGCAAAUUUUUAC
rfam:Absidia glauca strain CBS 101.48 genome assembly, contig: contig_2174